rnacentral:rRNA from 1 species
UACGUAGGGUGCGAGCGUUGUCCGGAAUUAUUGGGCGUAAAGAGCUCGUAGGCGGUUUGUCACGUCUGCUGUGAAAUCCCGAGGCUCAACCUCGGGCCUGCAGUGGGUACGGGCAGACUGGAGUGCGGUAGGGGAGAAUGGAAUUCCUGGUGUAGCGGUGGAAUGCGCAGAUAUCAGGAGGAACACCGAUGGCGAAGGCAGGUCUCUGGGCCACUACUGACGCUGAGAAGCGAAAGCAUGGGGAGCGAACAGG